UGGGGUGUUGUCUAACUGGCAGGACACAGGACUUUGGAUCCUGGCGUGAAGGUUCGACUCCUUCCACCCCAG
rnacentral:tRNA from 1 species